AUGAACGCUGGCGGCGUGCCUAAUACAUGCAAGUCGAGCGAACGGACGAGAAGCUUGCUUCUCUGAUGUUAGCGGCGGACGGGUGAGUAACACGUGGAUAACCUACCUAUAAGACUGGGAUAACUUCGGGAAACCGGAGCUAAUACCGGAUAAUAUUUUGAACCGCAUGGUUCAAAAGUGAAAGACGGUCUUGCUGUCACUUAUAGAUGGAUCCGCGCUGCAUUAGCUAGUUGGUAAGGUAACGGCUUACCAAGGCAACGAUGCAUAGCCGACCUGAGAGGGUGAUCGGCCACACUGGAACUGAGACACGGUCCAGACUCCUACGGGAGGCAGCAGUAGGGAAUCUUCCGCAAUGGGCGAAAGCCUGACGGAGCAACGCCGCGUGAGUGAUGAAGGUCUUCGGAUCGUAAAACUCUGUUAUUAGGGAAGUACAUAUGUGUAAGUAACUGUGCACAUCUUGACGGUACCUAAUCAGAAAGCCACGGCUAACUACGUG
rnacentral:rRNA from 1 species